rnacentral:rRNA from 1 species
CCUACGGGGGGCAGCAGUCGAGAAUCAUUCACAAUGGGGGAAACCCUGAUGGUGCGACGCCGCGUGGGGGAAUGAAGGUCUUCGGAUUGUAAACCCCUGUCAUGUGGGAGCAAAUUAAAAAGAUAGUACCACAAGAGGAAGAGACGGCUAACUCUGUGCCAGCAGCCGCGGUAAUACAGAGGGCUCAAGCGUUGUUCGGAAUCACUGGGCGUAAGGCGUGCGUAGGCUGUUUCGUAAGUCGUGUGUGAAAGGCGCGGGCUCAACCCGCGGACGGCACAUGAUACUGCGAGACUAGAGUAAUGGAGGGGGAACCGGAAUUCUCGGUGUAGCAGUGAAAUGCGUAGAUAUCGAGAGGAACACUCGUGGCGAAGGCGGGUUCCUGGACAUUAACUGACGCUGAGGCACGAAGGCCAGGGGAGCGAAAGGGAUUAGAUACCCGUGUAGUC